CCCAUCCACAAAGAUCAGUCCAUCUUAGUGUCUCGUCACUCUGUUAAAGACUAUGUUCUCUUCGCCUACAGGGAUGGAGGAGAGGCGGCAAUAUUCAAUGCUAAAGGUGGAGUUGUGUCUCUAUACAAGCCGUAGAGAUCAGCUCUCAGUAUUUACUGCUCUUCUGCAGAUACCCCUAUCAAAGUGAAAUCAUUCACAUUGAACUCUUCAGCACAGCAUCCUUCCAGUACCUGCGCGCUACCUUGGGUUGCAGCCAGGACUACAUUUCACAGGUCACAUUGUGGCAUUUUG